rnacentral:rRNA from 1 species
GAUGAACGCUGGCGGCGUGCCUAAUACAUGCAAGUCGAGCGAACAGACGAGGAGCUUGCUCCUCUGACGUUAGCGGCGGACGGGUGAGUAACACGUGGAUAACCUACCUAUAAUACUGGGAUAACUUCGGGAAACCGGAGCUAAUACCGGAUAACAUGUUGAACCGCAUGGUUCAACAGUGAAAGACGGUCUUGCUGUCACUUAUAGAUGGAUUCGCGCCGCAUUAGCUAGUUGGUAAGGUAACGGCUUACCAAGGCAACGAUGCGUAGCCGACCUGAGAGGAUGAUCGGCCACACUGGAACUGAGACACGGUCCAGACUCCUACGGGAGGCAGCAGUAGGGAAUAUUCCGCAAUGGGCGAAAGCCUGACGGAGCAACGCCGCGUGAGUGAUGAAGGUCUUCGGAUCGUAAAACUCUGUUAUUAGGGAAGAACAAAUGUGUAAGUAACUAUGCACGUCUUGACGGUACCUAAUCAGAAAGCCACGGCUAACUACGUG